UACGUAGGGGGCAAGCGUUGUCCGGAUUUAUUGGGCGUAAAGAGCGUGUAGGCGGUUUGGUAGGUCCGUUGUGAAAACUCGAGGCUCAACCUCGAGACGCCGAUGGAAACCAUCAGACUAGAGUCCGGAAGAGGAGAGUGGAAUUCCUGGUGUAGCGGUGAAAUGCGCAGAUAUCAGGAAGAACACCCGUGGCUAAGGCGGCUCUCUAGUACGGUACUGACGCUGAGACGCGACAGCGUGGGGAGCAAACAGG
rnacentral:rRNA from 1 species